UUUCCCAUCGAGUACGCAUAGUACAAGCAUUUGACGACCUACUUCAUUGUCUAUGUGACAAGGUCAAAUUAGCUGUUAUUUGGCUGUC
ensembl:ncRNA F08G5.10 ncRNA